CUCAUGUGAUUGCCCGAGUAUGAGGUGAUGCUGGCCUGUGAAUUUUUAAUUAAAUAGUACAUAAACUAAAUAUAGGAGAGGCUCUAGUGAUGACUUUAAAAUGAGGACUUAAUGAAGACAUUCAUAUCAACGGUUGAAAGAAUAGUACUAAUUUUAAAUUUUAAGUGAAAUAUUAAUUGUACAACACACUUGUCAUUCAACCGUUGAUUUAAAAGUGCUCAUAAAAUCCUCAUUUUAAUGUCCUCAUUAGAGCCUCACCCAACUAAAUAUAUGAUAUAAGAACUGAAAUAAAAACGAGCCACAUAUAGUUCAGUUGGUAAAGGUGUUUCUUAGUUUGUCGUACUGGUCGAGUCCUAUUCAGCCCUCUCUUUUUUUCAUGAUUUUUUUGCAGUUUUUUUUUUUUUUGGAAGUUGAAUUAUAUUCUCUCUUAAAUGGUGCAAGAGGGAGUGAGGCAUCUCUGAACUGUAACUCCUUACUCCUUUAGUAUUCCCAUGUAGGGGACGCCAUGAUUAGUAAGGCCGGCUAUUCAACUUUGCAUUAGGCGUCCGAAAUCCCAAAACCAAACUGUGAUUGAUUCCUAGUAUGUACGCUUCUUAGGGCGAGUUUGGCCCCAAGGUGAUUAAUUUAAAAUCGGCUUUAGCUGUGCUGUGAGAAUAAUCAGCUGUGAAAUUAAGUAGCGGGGUGUUUGGUAAACUGUGCUUUUAAAAGUGCUGUGAGUACAAAAGCAGUGUUGAAGUGUUUGGUAAACUUUAGUGUAAAAGUACUGUGAGUUUAGAAAAUGACCAAAAAGGACAUGAUGUUAAAAUGAUGUUACUUAUAUAUAUUUUUAGAAAUAAUAACAUUUAUUAUCUUUAUAAGUUAUACUCUACUCAUUCAUUUAUCGUGACUUUCUGAAGUUCUGGGAAAUUUUCAGAGAAUUUUUCGGAUACUCCGACCAUUUAUCGUGACUUUCCGAUGUUCUAGGGUUUUGAAAAUUUAUUUAAGGAAAUAGAAAUCAAGUGGCGCGAUCUGAGCCACCAACUUCCUCCACCAUCCAAUCUGGUCCGUUGAUUUGGCUUUAAAAGGAAAGGAAACAGAUCAGAUUGUCGAGCUAGGUGAAAGGGAGCUUGGAGUUAGAAGGCCACCGACCCGGAAGAGAAGCCUGACCGAAACUUUCACCUCCGACCACCCCACAAUGGCGCACGGGCACCAUCCUCUUCGUCUCCUCGUACCCGUCACGCUUGUGGCCUUUGAUCGUCCAUGCACCAGACGACGAAGAAGAAUCGACGGUGAGAAGUUCUUAUUGCUCCGGCGAGUUUCAGCGAAUUCCGGCGACUUCGGCCACCAAUUGGCUUGCAUGUGUCCUGGCUUCGUUGCAUCUGUAGAAGAAAGCUGACCACGAUUGGAGUUGGAAGUCACGAACUUGCUGGGUUGUAGGUAUCGAAUCCUCAGUCCAUCUUCAGUUCGGAGCUGGAAUAUAGAUGAGGGCAAUAUAGUGCACCAUUCAAACGGUGUAGGGGUUAAUCCUGCAGGUCAGGAUAAUCGAUUCGUG